rnacentral:lncRNA from 1 species
AUGAAGUAUCCUGGAUGGACGGCGUCGCAGGUGGAGAAGGAGCUGAGCAGCGUAGUGGCUCCUUUAGCUGAGCUCGAGAGACGUCUUAAAUAUCUGCACCCUCAGAAAAUAGAAGUAAACCGGGGCGUGUACUGGUUCCUGGCUUCUCUCCCAGAAGACAAAGCUGUGGAGACGGUGAAAACGCUGCUGAGACAAACGCGUCCUCGUGUCUCGUCGUCCACGGGCGACACCGCUGAGACUUUGGGACUUGAAGUUUCAAGCUCAGACGACGGCGUACGUGUGUUUGAUCGUGAAGUCUCCGACGUUUGUGAUAAGCAAAUACAGACGGAUCUGAUCCAGAUAACAGAAAUGUUGAAGGAGGACGACCGUCCGGGGGAUCUUCAGAGGUCAGAUGAUCCGAUUCAGGAACCUCGCUCUUGUGUUAGCAGCGAUCAAGUUAAUCCAGAUCCAGUUCCGGGUGUUCAAGAUGAAGAAAUGAUAGAAACCGUCCAGCAGGAUUCCUUUGAUCCAGAUGCAGAAGUUAAAGACGACGUCACCGACGUGUCUGGGACUCCCCGUAAGUCCCCGACUCCCUUCCACAUCUCAGAAGAAGCAGAAACCCUCGUCGGUCCGGGGCGAUGGCGUCCACCUGCUGCUGAAACACAACAGUGGAAGAGAGAUGUGCGCCAACUGGACGAAGAACUCCUCACAAGACCACAAAAGGUUCCACGUUUUCAAACCUGCGGCCUGCAGCCGCAAACUUGUGCUGAAGCAGGACAGCAGAGCCCGUCAGGACCGAGCUACAGAGCAGAAGUAGCUCCGGAACAAGGAGCAGAACCCCGAGGACAAAGAGCAUCACAGGAAGGACCCAGAGCUUUAUUAGGGGGAAAAGCUCCGAGCUGCAGCCAUUUGUCUUUCUACCUAACAGCAGGCGGAUGUGGCUCCAGACCCGUCGUCGGUGAGCGUUUAUGUAAACACACCACCACCCGUUCCACGCAGGCACGUUUACACGGUGUGUGUUCAUCAGGCAUGGCCUCCGUGUGGGAGUGCCGGGGACUUUCUCAGGACACUUUCUUCCUGUGUGAAAGCUGUGAGGACAUCCUGUCCCACAGAGACAUCUGUCUGCAUCUGGUCAGCCGGGAUCACCAGCUCAACUACCUGUGGAGGGAACGUCCCGAGGUUCUGGAAACGUUCUGGCCGAGGGAGGAUCUGCCGUCAGAGCUGAGAAAGGAAAUUUUAAACCGCGUCGUUUGGGAAUUUGCUGUGUGGGAGCGGGACAGGGUGGACACGCCGGUACCACCCAGAUGCGUUAGUCUGUGCUGCACAAACUCUUCCUGUUUCACAUUAAUCUACAGGCUUGUUUGUAUUUGUCCUAAAGUGUGUGCUGCUGGAACAGGAGCUCCAUCAGUUCGUUAGGACAGCUCACUACAUCGAAGCUCUUAAUAUUUUGAGAUUCAUCACAAAUGAAGAGACAAGUGUCCGCCUGUCCAACAGAACCACACACCAGAAAA